rnacentral:rRNA from 1 species
GAGUUUGAUCAUGGCUCAGAGCGAACGCUGGCGGCAGGCCUAACACAUGCAAGUCGAACGGACUCUUCGGAGUUAGUGGCGGACGGGUGAGUAACACGUGGGAACGUGCCUUUAGGUUCGGAAUAAGCCCGGGAAACUGGGUCUAAUACCGAAUGUGCCCUUCGGGGGAAAGAUUUAUCGCCUUUAGAGCGGCCCGCGUCUGAUUAGCUAGUUGGUGGUGUAAUGGACCACCAAGGCGACGAUCAGUAGCUGGUCUGAGAGGAUGACCAGCCACAUUGGGACUGAGACACGGCCCAAACUCCUACGGGAGGCAGCAGUGGGGAAUCUUGCGCAAUGGGCGAAAGCCUGACGCAGCCAUGCCGCGUGUAUGAUGAAGGUCUUAGGAUUGUAAAAUACUUUCACCGGUGAAGAUAAUGACUGUAGCCGGAGAAGAAGCCCCGGCUAACUUCGUGCCAGCAGCCGCGGUAAUACGAAGGGGGCUAGCGUUGCUCGGAAUUACUGGGCGUAAAGGGAGCGUAGGCGGACAUUUAAGUCAGGGGUGAAAUCCCAGAGCUCAACUCUGGAACUGCCUUUGAUACUGGAUGUCUUGAGUGUGAGAGAGGUAUGUGGAACUCCGAGUGUAGAGGUGAGAUUCGUAGAUAUUCGGAAGAACACCAGUGGC